UGAGCAGUGACGGGAACAGGAGAGGUGUCAUGAGAAGAGUUCUAGGUUGAUGCUGCAUGGCCACGAUAGGAUUUGAAGUGUCAUUUAUUUACAGCAUGUCCCCGAUGGCUAACAUUUUGUUUCUCUGCCAAAACCAUUGUAUUUCUUAGUUGACAUUCAAGUUUUAAAAGGGUGAAAUCCUUUUAACGUUACGUAUUUUUAGAAGGCGGCGCAAAAAGAAAGCAGUGGGUCUAAUCCCCACCCCCGACCAUGAGAAAACUACCACUUCUUAAUUUUUACCAAUUUUUCUUAUGUUUUCAGUUAACUUUCUUUCUAAUGUAAAUACAAAUUUAAACCUAGACUUAAUAUAGCGGAGCCUGGAAAGUUCAUUCUAGAUCUCACUAACUACUGGAAUCAGUGUUUUAAUCUUAGUGGAAAACUUCAGUUGCUUAAUUCUGUGUUUGAGGAUUCUUUUUUGUUCUACAUCAUUUAUGUUGUAUUACAAUGUAUGUAGAAACAGUAACCUGUGAACUA
rnacentral:lncRNA from 1 species